rnacentral:rRNA from 1 species
AGUUUGAUCCUGGCUCAGGAUGAACGCUAGCGGCAGGCUUAACACAUGCAAGUCGAGGGGCAGCGCGGGUAGCAAUACCUGGCGGCGACCGGCGAAAGGGUGAGUAACGCGUGAGCAACGUGCCCGUAUGUGGGGGAUAGUCAUUGGAAACGAUGCGUAAUACCCCGUAACACAAGGUCUCGCAUGGGGCUUUGUUGAAAGAUUGAUUGCAUACGGAUCGGCUCGCGUGCCAUUAGGUAGACGGCGGGGUAACGGCCCACCGUGCCGACGAUGGCUAGGGGUUCUGAGAGGAAGGUCCCCCACAUUGGAACUGAGACACGGUCCAGACUCCUACGGGAGGCAGCAGUGAGGAAUAUUGGUCAAUGGGCGGAAGCCUGAACCAGCCAUGCCGCGUGAAGGAAUGAGGCCCUAUGGGUCGUAAACUUCUUUUGACGGGGAGCAAUAAGGCGUACGUGUACGCCGAUGAGAGUACUCGUCGAAUAAGCAUCGGCUAACUCCGUGCC